rfam:Gorilla gorilla gorilla genomic chromosome, chr12, whole genome shotgun sequence
UAUUAGGUGGGUGCAAAAGUUAUUGCGGUUUUUGCCAUUAAAAGUAAUGGCAAAAACCGCAAUAACUUUUGCACCCACCUAAUA